rnacentral:rRNA from 1 species
CACGUAGGGUGCGAGCGUUGUCCGGAAUUAUUGGGCGUAAAGAGCUCGUAGGCGGUGUGUCGCGUCGGCCGUGAAAACCUGCAGCUUAACUGUGGGCUUGCGGUCGAUACGGGCAUCACUGGAGUUCGGCAGGGGAGACUGGAAUUCCUGGUGUAGCGGUGAAAUGCGCAGAUAUCAGGAGGAACACCAAUGGCGAAGGCAGCUCGCUGGGACGGUACUGACGCU